CGCGGUUAUACCAAGUGAUUAAGUUAUAUUUCUAGGUAAAAAGACAGUUAGGUUUAUAAUAAAAAUUUGUUUAGUCUAUUUAACAUCUAUAAAAAAGUAAAAUUUGUAUAUAGAUAACUAAUCUAAGAAUGACUACAAUAAAAGUACUGAAGCUGUGAUAGUCUUGAGGGAAACUGGGAUUAGAUACCCCAUUAUUCUUGAUUGUAAAUAUAAUUAAAUUUACCAGAGUACUAUGAAUAGUUAAAAAUUUAAAACUCAAAGGGCUUGGCGGUGUUUUAGACCUAUCAGGGGAACCUGUCUCAUAAUCGACAAUCCACGUUAUAUCUAACCUUAUUUUGUAAUUCAGUUUGUAUACCGUCGUCGUCAGGUAACUUUUAAAAAUAUAGAAGUUAGCAAUAAAAAUUAAUAUUAAUUAAGACGUCAGAUCAAGGUGCAGCUUAUAAUAAGGAGAGGAUGGGUUACAAUUAUUAAAAUUAUAAUUUACGGAAAUUUAAAUGAAAUUAUAUUUGGAAGGAGGACUUGAAAGUAAACUAAAAUAUACAAAUAGUUUGAAUAAGGCUCUG
rnacentral:rRNA from 1 species